rnacentral:rRNA from 1 species
CCUACGGGAGGCAGCAGUGGGGAAUAUUGGGCAAUGGGCGAAAGCCUGACCCAGCAACGCCGCGUGAAGGAUGAAGGCUUUCGGGUUGUAAACUUCCUUUGACAGGGAAGUGCAGAGGACGGUACCUGUCGAAUAAGCUACGGCUAACUACGUGCCAGCAGCCGCGGUAAUACGUAGGUGGCAAGCGUUGUCCGGAUUUACUGGGUGUAAAGGGCGUGUAGCCGGGCUGACAAGUCAGAUGUGAAAUCUGGGGGCUCAACCCCCGAACUGCAUUUGAAACUGGUGGUCUUGAGUAUCGGUGAGGCAGGCGGAAUUCGUGGUGUAGCGGUGAAAUGCGUAGAUAUUAGGAGGAACACCGAUGGCGAAGGCGGCCUGCUGGACGACGACUGACGGUGAGGCGCGAAAGCGUGGGGAGCAAACAGGAUUAGAUACCCUUGUAGUC